rnacentral:misc_RNA from 1 species
CUGCGGUUCGCGGGAGAGUAAGUUAUUGCCAGGGUUUUUAUUUUAUACUUUAAACAUUGAUUUUAUUUUUUAUGUUUUUAGAUGUUCAUGUUUUUGAAUGUUUUAUUUAAAUAAUAUAAAAAAUAAAAUAUAUAUUGACAUGGAUUAAACAAAGAUAUAUAUUAUUCUAUGUUGCAUAAGCAAAUUGGCAAAAUAGAGAUGGAAGAUAAAAAUAUGGUCAAAGUAAUAAGAGUCUAUGGUGAAUGCCUAGGA